UGGCCAGAACACUGCCGGA
rnacentral:piRNA from 1 species